UAGGGAAUCUUGCGCAAUGAGGGAAACCUUGACGCAGCGACGCCGCGUGCGGGAAGAAGGCCUUCGGGUUGUAAACCGCUUUCAGGAGGGACGAAGCCACUCGGGUUAAUAGCCCAGAGGGUGACGGUACCUCCAGAAGAAGCCCCGGCUAACUACGUGCCAGCAGCCGCGGUAAUACGUAGGGGGCAAGCGUUGUCCGGAUUUAUUGGGCGUAAAGAGCGUGUAGGCGGCCAUACAGGUCCGUUGUGAAAACUGGAGGCUUAACCUCCAGACGUCGAUGGAAACCGUAUGGCUAGAGUCCGGAAGAGGAGAGUGGAAUUCCUGGUGUAGCGGUGAAAUGCGCAGAUAUCAGGAAGAACACCCGUGGCGAAGGCGGCUCUCUGGGACGGUACUGACGCUGAGACGCGAAAGCGUGGGGAGCGAACA
rnacentral:rRNA from 1 species